CCUACGGGAGGCAGCAGUGAGGAAUCUUGGUCAAUGGGCGCGAGCCUGAACCAGCCAAGUCGCGUGAGUGAAGACGGUCCUAUGGAUUGUAAACCUCUUUUGUCGGGGAGCAAAAGACGCCACGCGUGGCGUUCCGAGAGUACCCGUAGCAAAAGCAUAGGCUAACUCCGUGUCAGCAGCCGCGGUAAUACGGAGGAUGCGAGCGUUAUCCGGAUUUGUUGGGUUUAAGGGGUGAGCAGGCGGAAGAUCAAGUCAGCGGUAAAAUUGAGGGGCUCAACCUCUUCGAGCCGUUGAAACUGGUUUUCUUGAGUGAGUGAGAGGUAUGCGGAAUGCGAGGUGUAGCGGUGAAAUGCGUAGAUAUCACGCAGAACUCCGAUUGCGAAGGCAGCAUGCCGGCGCGCAACUGACGCUGAUGCACGAAAGUGUGGGUAUCGAACAGGAUUAGAUACCCUUGUAGUC
rnacentral:rRNA from 1 species